rnacentral:rRNA from 1 species
GAUGAACGCUGGCGGCGUGCUUAACACAUGCAAGUCGAACGAAGCACUUCAUAAAGCUUGCUUUAAGAAGUGACUUAGUGGCGGACGGGUGAGUAACGCGUGGGUAACCUGCCUUACACAGGGGGAUAACAGUUAGAAAUGACUGCUAAUACCGCAUAAAACAGCAGAGUCGCAUGACUCAACUGUCAAAGAUUUAUCGGUGUAAGAUGGACCCGCGUCUGAUUAGCUUGUUGGUGGGGUAACGGCCUACCAAGGCGACGAUCAGUAGCCGGCCUGAGAGGGUGAACGGCCACAUUGGGACUGAGACACGGCCCAAACUCCUACGGGAGGCAGCAGUGGGGAAUAUUGGACAAUGGGCGAAAGCCUGAUCCAGCGACGCCGCGUGAGCGAUGAAGUAUUUCGGUAUGUAAAGCUCUAUCAGCAGGGAAGAAAACGACGGUACCUGACUAAGAAGCCCCGGCUAACUACGUG